rnacentral:rRNA from 1 species
GACGAACGCUGGCGGCACGCUUAACACAUGCAAGUCGAACGAGAGAAGAGAAGCUUGCUUUUCUGAUCUAGUGGCGGACGGGUGAGUAACACGUGAGCAAUCUGCCUUUCAGAGGGGGAUACCGAUUGGAAACGAUCGUUAAUACCGCAUAACAUAAUUGAACCGCAUGAUUUGAUUAUCAAAGAUUUAUCGCUGAAAGAUGAGCUCGCGUCUGAUUAGCUAGUUGGUAAGGUAACGGCUUACCAAGGCGACGAUCAGUAGCCGGACUGAGAGGUUGAUCGGCCACAUUGGGACUGAGACACGGCCCAGACUCCUACGGGAGGCAGCAGUGGGGAAUAUUGCACAAUGGAGGAAACUCUGAUGCAGCGAUGCCGCGUGAGGGAAGAAGGUUUUAGGAUUGUAAACCCCUGUCUUCAGGGACGAAAAAAGACGGUACCUGAGGAGGAAGCUCCGGCUAACUACGUG